rnacentral:rRNA from 1 species
AACACCCGUUCCCAUCCCGAACACGGAAGUUAAGCUCUCCAGCGCCGAUGGUAGUUGGGGCCAGCGCCCCUGCAAGAGUAGGUCGUUGCUAGGC